AGCCUGGUAACCGUCAUAUAGGGU
rnacentral:siRNA from 1 species